rnacentral:tRNA from 1 species
GGAGGGAUGUCCGAAUGGCAAGGAGCCGGUCUUGAAAACCGGUGUAGGCGUAAGCUGUCUGGGUUCGAAUCCCAGUCCCUCCG